GCGUGCGUGCCUACAAUGUUAAUGCACCAUAUCCCAUUUGAACUCCGAAGUUAAGCGCGCUUGGGCUAGAUUACUAUUGGGAUGGGUGACCUCUCAGGAAGUCCUAGCAUUUCAAUAA
rnacentral:rRNA from 1 species